UAGACAUAUUAUAGGUACCCACCUGCUGCCGAGUUUUGUUUUAAACAUAAUAUUAAUAUUGUUAUGUAUUCAUCGCAUACAGACGCGACUGUAAAUCACCGAAUGGUUUUGAAUGAGUCUUUGGUGUCUGAGAAAAUUGGACAUUCGAUACCUACCUAUACCUACUAACAUUUUACUGAAUUUUCGUAAUACGUUAUUAUUCCCUGAUUGAUAACUUCAUGUAAACAUGUGUGUC